UACGGAGGGUGCGAGCGUUGUCCGGAAUCACUGGGCGUAAAGGGCGCGUAGGCGGCGAGGAUAGUCAACGGUGAAAGCUUGGGGCUCAACCCCGAGUCGGCCGUCGAUACUUCCUUGCUUGAGCACUGUAGAGGCAGAUGGAAUUCCUGGUGUAGCGGUGGAAUGCGCAGAUAUCAGGAGGAACACCGAUAGCGAAGGCAGCUCGCUGGGACGGUACUGACGCUGAGGCGCGAAAGCGUGGGGAGCGAACAGG
rnacentral:rRNA from 1 species